GACGAACGCUGGCGGCGUGCUUAACACAUGCAAGUCGAACGGAAAGGCCCCUUUGGGGGUACUCGAGUGGCGAAAGGGUGAGUAACACGUGAGUAACCUGCCCUUGACUUCGGGAUAACUUCAGGAAAAUGGGGCUAAUACCGGAUAGGAAUCCUUGCUGCAUGGUGGGGGUUGGAAAGCUGCGGCGGUUUUGGAUGGACUCGCGGCUUAUCAGCUUGUUGGUGGGGUAGUGGCUUACCAAGGCUUUGACGGGUAGCCGGCCUUGGAGGGCGACCGGCCACAUUGAGACUGAGAUUCGGCCCAGACUCCUACGAGUGGCAGCGGUAGCAAAGAUUGCUCAAUGGGCAGAAGCCUGAUGCAGCACCGCCGCGGGCGGGAUGACGGCCUUCGGGUUGUAAUCCGCUUUCAGCUGUAGCGAAGCUUGUGGUGACGGUACCUGCAGAAUAAGCACCGGCUAACUACGUG
rnacentral:rRNA from 1 species